AUCUUUCUAGUAUAAACAAUAUGAGUGACUUCCAAUCACGUGAUCCCGGUUAAAGUCCGAGGAAAGAUA
rnacentral:tRNA from 1 species